GUAGUCUUCUUCCUAAUUUAGUAAUGUUGAAGAUAGUGUAUUCAAUGGCUAUAAAAACAAGAGCCUAAAGUAUCAUUCCAUUUUAUAUUUUUCUAAUUAUAUUAUACAAAGAUAUUUAGUUCAGCCAGCCCAGAGAGCUGCAAAGGUCCCAUGUAGCAGAGCUAGGAUUCAAAUAUAAGUCCUCAGGAUGAUAAAUUCAAUAUCGUGUGCUUUUUCCAUUGUACCAUGCUUCCUGAAACUCUCCUGAAUCCUAAUACAAAACUUUUAGAAAUUUCUAUAAAAUCAAUUUCUUCCUGAGAACACAAGUGUAAAAAACAAAAUGUCACUUUCACUCCAAUUAAUCACAUAGUUUUUAUCUUUAAUGCAUUUUAUGUAAUCUCAAUUUAAUUCCGUAUAGAUGUUGAUAGAGGAAGAUUUUUUCCCUCUUAAUUUACUCCUUCCCAAGCACCUUUUAAAAGACAGAACAAAGAAAACUACUUGGCAGUAAUAUUUUGAGAUGUGCCAAUAUUUAUAAAAAUAUAUAGGCAAAUUAUAGGAUAUUUUUUAAGCCAGCAAGACAUUUCUAUUAUAUUACUAACCAGGAUGCUUUAAUUCUAUCUCCUCCCCUCAACCCCCUUCCAAAUGCCUAUAAUAGAAAAAAGGGAAAAAGUAAAGCAACUUGGAGGUAUCAAAUCUUUAUGUAUACUCUGGUAUGUAGUACGUUAUUUAAACAGUUUCUUAGACCACUGUUUUUUCAUUACUAAGCAAGGAAUGAGUUUUCUCUAUUAAACUGUACAUUUUUAGGAUCAGAUUUAAAGCAAAAAGGGAGUUUGGAAGCUAUCGGGUCUAAUCACCUAAUUUUACAAAUGAAAAAAAUAAGAAAACAAAUUUUUUUAAGUAACUUGCCCAGAAUUAUAUAACUAGUAAAAGUCUGAAGCUGUCUUAUCCACAGAUAAGAGAUUUACAAAAUAAUAACAUAGGAAACAAAAUACCUGUAAAUAGAUGUUGUAAAUUGUAAAUAUUAGCAAAUAAAGUGAACUACCAUUACUAGAAAACUAUAUACUUCCCAAACUAAACUUUAUACUCAUUUUAUUUUCACUGGUUUACCAACUACUGCUAUCCACUUAUUAUUCAACCCCAUAUAAUCUACUUAAGUUCCUACAAUCGAAGUACCAGGACAAUUAACCUAGAAUAUUGCCUUUCAUUAAAUUCCUCAAGAUGACUAACAUCAAAGCAAAACAUCC
rnacentral:lncRNA from 1 species